GAUGAAGAACGUAGCGAAAUGCGAUAAGUAAUGUGAAUUGCAGAAUUCAGUGAAUCAUCGAAUCUUUGAACGCACAUUGCGCCCGCCAGUAUUCUGGCGGGCAUGCCUGUUCGAGCGUCAUUACAACCCUCAGGCCCCCGGGCCUGGCGUUGGGGAUCGGCAGAAGCCCCCUGUGGGCACACGCCGUCCCUCAAAUACAGUGGCGGUCCCGCCGCAGCUUCCAUUGCGUAGUAGCUAACACCUCGCAACUGGAGAGCGGCGCGGCCAUGCCGUAAAACACCCAACUUCUGAAUGUUGACCUCGAAUCAGGUAGGAAUACCCGCUGAACUUAAGCAUAUCAAUAAGCGAGGA
rnacentral:misc_RNA from 1 species